rnacentral:rRNA from 1 species
AGAGUUUGAUCCUGGCUCAGAGUGAACGCUGGCGGCGUGCUUAACACAUGCAAGUCGAACGAGAACGGCUCUAGCUUGCUAGAGUGUCAGCUAAGUGGCGCACGGGUGAGUAAUAUAUAGUUAACCUGCCUCAAAGAAGAGAAUAAUUGUUGGAAACGACUUGUAAUGCUCUAUAUGCCUUUAUUACAUAAGUAAGCAAGGGAAACAUUUAUGGCUUUGAGAUGGGACUGUACGGUAUCAGAUAGUUGGUGAGGUAAUGGCUCACCAAGUCAAUGACGCCUAACUGGUUUGAGAGGAUGAUCAGUCACACUGGAACUGAGACACGGUCCAGACUCCUACGGGAGGCAGCAGUGGGGAAUAUUGCACAAUGGAGGAAACCCUGAUGCAGCAACGCCGCGUGGAGGAUGACACAUUUCGGUGCGUAAACUCCUUUUAUAUGAGAAGAUAAUGACGGUAUCAUAUGAAUAAGCACCGGCUAACUUCGU